rnacentral:lncRNA from 1 species
CCUCCUCCUGGGCUGGGCCCGCGGUGUCUCGUCCCCUCGCGGCGGGAGCUGGUACACAGCCUCAGGACCGCAGCUGAAUGCACAGCUAGAAGGUUGGCUUUCACAAGUACAGUCUACAAAAAGACCUGCUAGAGCCAUUAUUGCCUUGGUGGACUUGACAAUUUGUGUAAUGCAGAGCUUUGAUAGGCUCUGGCAAAAAGGAAGCUGAGAUUACAGGCACCCACUACCACACCCGGCUAAUUUUUUAUAUUUUUAGUAGAGACGUGGUUUCACCAUGUUGGCCAGGCUAGUCAAAUAUAUGAAAGAGAUGUGACAAUUAAAUGCAAUCCAUGGGCCAGGUGCGGUGACUCACGCCUGUAAUCCCAGCACUUUGGGAGACCAAGGCGGGCGGAUCAUGAGGUCAGGAGAUUGAGACUAUCCUCGCUAACACGGUGAAACCCCGUCUCUACUAAAAAUACAAGAAAUUAGCCAGGCAUGGUGGCAGGCGCCUGUAGUCCCAGCUACUUGGGAGACUGAGGCAGGAGAAUGGCAUGAACCCGGGAGGUGGAGCUUGCAGUGAGCCGAGAUCACGCCACUGCACUCCAGCCUAGGUGACAGAGCGAGACUCCAUCUCAAAAAAAAAAAAAAAAACGCAAUCCAUGAUCCUACUUUGGACCCUGGAUUAAAGCAAACAAAAACUGUAAAAGAACAUUACUGGGACAAUUUGGACACAUUUGAAUAUGGGCUGUAUUUUAGAUAAUAGUGUUGUAUAA